CUCACUUCUCCAACACCAAUUCAGUGAUUACAUUAUUUAGAACUUCAAUAUGGCAACGUCAAGGACGGUAACAUUUAUGAGGUUUUCUGGGACUUAUACAGGCCUCCCACACAGGAAGCCACCAAUACCCUAGGCCAAGUUCUACUGUGUCUGUCUUGCUUGUAAAGCAGUGAACUCCCUUUAGAACACCAUCAGUACUUGCAAUCUAAAAAAGUCCUAUAUGAUUCAUCCCAAGCCAGGAAGACUGUCUUUUAAAACAUUUUGCACCACAUUUUCAUCUUCAGUGGAUUCGACACUCUCUUGCAUACACAAUGGGAACAUUCACCUUUGGCUUCAAAGAGUGCCAGAAGGAGGUAGAAGGAGCCUGUGAGAAGAGAACUAAAAUAGCCGGAGCAGAAAGUCAGUCUAGCUCAUGAAGGUAAGCGCCUCCCUCUCAGGCCUUCGGCCUCCACUUGACCUUCCCCUUG
ensembl:lncRNA